CUCCGUAGGUGAACCUGCGGAGGGAUCAUUACAAGUGACCCCGGUCUAACCACCGGGAUGUUCAUAACCCUUUGUUGUCCGACUCUGUUGCCUCCGGGGCGACCCUGCCUUCGGGCGGGGGCUCCGGGUGGACACUUCAAACUCUUGCGUAACUUUGCAGUCUGAGUAAACUUAAUUAAUAAAUUAAAACUUUUAACAACGGAUCUCUUGGUUCUGGCAUCGAUGAAGAACGCAGCGAAAUGCGAUAAGUAAUGUGAAUUGCAGAAUUCAGUGAAUCAUCGAAUCUUUGAACGCACAUUGCGCCCCCUGGUAUUCCGGGGGGCAUGCCUGUUCGAGCGUCAUUUCACCACUCAAGCCUCGCUUGGUAUUGGGCAACGCGGUCCGCCGCGUGCCUCAAAUCGACCGGCUGGGUCUUCUGUCCCCUAAGCGUUGUGGAAACUAUUCGCUAAAGGGUGUUCGGGAGGCUACGCCGUAAAACAACCCCAUUUCUAAGGUGACCUCGAUCA
rnacentral:sRNA from 1 species